GAUGAACGCUGGCGGCGUGCCUAAUACAUGCAAGUCGAGCGAACAGACGAGGAGCUUGCUCCUCUGACGUUAGCGGCGGACGGGUGAGUAACACGUGGAUAACCUACCUAUAAGACUGGGAUAACUUCGGGAAACCGGAGCUAAUACCGGAUAAUAUAUUGAACCGCAUGGUUCAAUAGUGAAAGACGGUUUUGCUGUCACUUAUAGAUGGAUCCGCGCCGCAUUAGCUAGUUGGUAAGGUAACGGCUUACCAAGGCAACGAUGCGUAGCCGACCUGAGAGGGUGAUCGGCCACACUGGAACUGAGACACGGUCCAGACUCCUACGGGAGGCAGCAGUAGGGAAUCUUCCGCAAUGGGCGAAAGCCUGGCGGAGCAACGCCGCGUGAGUGAUGAAGGCCUUCGGAUCGUAAAACUCUGUUAUUAGGGAAGAACAAAUGUGUAAGUAACUAUGCACGUCUUGACGGUACCUAAUCAGAAAGCCACGGCUAACUACGUG
rnacentral:rRNA from 1 species